rnacentral:rRNA from 1 species
AGCUCCAAUAGCGUAUAUUAAAGUUGUUGCAGUUAGAACGCUCGUAGUCGGAUUUCGGGGCAGUCUGACCGGUCUGCCGAUGGGUAUGCACUGGCCAGAGUGUCCUUUUUGCCGGAGACCGUGCCUACUCUUAACUGAGCGGGGGCGGGAGACGGCACUUUUACUUUGAAAAAAUCAGAGUGUUUCAAGCAGGCAGCUCGCUCUUGCAUGGAUUAGCAUGGGAUAAUAAAAUAGGACUUUGGUGCUAUUUUGUUGGUUUCGAACACCGAAGUAAUGAUGAGAAGGGACAGUCAGGGGCACUCGUAUUCCGCAGAGAGAGGUGAAAUUCUCAGACCCGCGGAAGACGAACCACUGCGAAAGCAUUUGCCAGGGAUGUUUUCA